UACGGGGGGAGCAAGCGUUGUUCGGAUUUACUGGGCGUAAAGGGCGCGUAGGCGGCCACCGCAAGUCGACUGUGAAAUCUCCGGGCUUAACCCGGAAAGGUCAGCCGAUACUGCGGGGCUAGAGUGCAGAAGGGGCAACUGGAAUUCUCGGUGUAGCGGUGAAAUGCGUAGAUAUCAGGAGGAAUACCGAUGGCGAAGGCAGGUCUCUGGGCUGACACUGACGCUCAUGCACGAAAGCGUGGGGAGCAAACAGG
rnacentral:rRNA from 1 species